CUUUGGGGUGUGACUGCGUACCUUUUGUAUAAUGGGUCAGCGACUUAUAUUUUGUAGCAAGGUUAACCGUAUAGGGGAGCCGUAGGGAAACCGAGUCUUAACCGGGCGUUAAGUUGCAGGGUAUAGACCCGAAACCCGGUGAUCUAGCCAUGGGCAGGUUGAAGGUUGGGUAACACUAACUGGAGGACCGAACCGACUAAUGUUGAAAAAUUAGCGGAUGACCUGUGGCUGGGGGUGAAAGGCCAAUCAAACCGGGAGAUAGCUGGUUCUCCCCGAAAGCUAUUUAGGUAGCGCCUCGUGAACUCAUCUCCGGGGGUAGAGCACUGUUUCGGCUAGGGGGCCAUCCCGGCUUACCAACCCGAUGCAAACUGCGAAUACCGGAGAAUGUUAUCACGGGAGACACACGGCGGGUGCUAACGUCCGUCGUGAAGAGGGAAACAACCCAGACCGCCAGCUAAGGUCCCAAAGUCAUGGUUAAGUGGGAAACGAUGUGGGAAGGCCCAGACAGCCAGGAUGUUGGCUUAGAAGCAGCCAUCAUUUAAAGAAAGCGUAAUAGCUCACUGGUCGAGUCGGCCUGCGCGGAAGAUGUAACGGGGCUAAACCAU
rnacentral:rRNA from 1 species